rnacentral:ncRNA from 2 species
UAACAUCUGCGCCUAGCUGGUGCUUUCUAGAUGUAUAGAUGGCUGAAAAGGGAAUCUGGUGUAAAUCCAGAACUGACGCGCAGCGGUAAAAGAGAACGAAAACUCAAAUGACACUGCAUAGAGGACUAUGUGGGAAGUCGAGUGAGUAGGUGGCAAUGCCGAGCUCUUAAGUCCGAAGACCUGCCAGCAGCUGAGCAGUGGU